rnacentral:tRNA from 2 species
ACGGAUGUGGUGCAGCUUGGUAGCACGCUUGCCUUGGGAGCAAGAGGUCGCAGGUUCGAACCCUGCCAUUCGUA